rnacentral:rRNA from 1 species
UAGGGAAUCUUCCGCAAUGGACGCAAGUCUGACGGAGCAACGCCGCGUGAGUGAAGAAGGAUUUCGGUUCGUAAAACUCUGUUGUUAGAGAAGAACAGCGCAUAGAGUAACUGUUAUGCGUGUGACGGUAUCUAACCAGAAAGCCACGGCUAACUACGUGCCAGCAGCCGCGGUAAUACGUAGGUGGCAAGCGUUGUCCGGAUUUAUUGGGCGUAAAGCGAGCGCAGGCGGUCAAUUAAGUCUGAUGUGAAAGCCCCCGGCUCAACCGGGGAGGGUCAUUGGAAACUGGUUGGCUUGAGUGCGGAAGGGGAGAGUGGAAUUCCAUGUGUAGCGGUGAAAUGCGUAGAUAUAUGGAGGAACACCGGUGGCAAAGGCGACGCUCAGGUCUGUAACUGACGCUGAGGCUCGAAAGCGUGGGUAGCAAACAGG